rnacentral:tRNA from 1 species
GGGGCUGUAGCNNGGCAGUCAUGAGGUCGAGGGUUCGAUCCCCUUCAGCUCCACCA